GGGGGGGCAGCUUACACAUGCAAGUCGAGCGGUAACAGGAGAAGCUUGCUUCUCGCUGACGAGCGGCGGACGGGUGAGUAAUACUUAGGAAUCUACCUAGUAGUGGGGGAUAGCACGGGGAAACUCGUAUUAAUACCGCAUACGACCUACGGGAGAAAGGGGGCAGUUUACUGCUCUCGCUAUUAGAUGAGCCUAAGUCGGAUUAGCUAGAUGGUGGGGUAAAGGCCUACCAUGGCGACGAUCUGUAGCUGGUCUGAGAGGAUGAUCAGCCACACCGGGACUGAGACACGGCCCGGACUCCUACGGGAGGCAGCAGUGGGGAAUAUUGGACAAUGGGGGAAACCCUGAUCCAGCCAUGCCGCGUGUGUGAAGAAGGCCUUUUGGUUGUAAAGCACUUUAAGCAGUGAAGAAGACUCCAUGGUUAAUACCCAUGGACGAUGACAUUAGCUGCAGAAUAAGCACCGGCUAACUCUGUGCCAGCAGCCGCGGUAAUACAGAGGGUGCAAGCGUUAAUCGGAAUUACUGGGCGUAAAGGGAGCGUAGGUGGCUCUAUAAGUCAGAUGUGAAAUCCCCGGGCUUAACCUGGGAACUGCAUCUGAAACUGUAGAGCUAGAGUAUGUGAGAGGAAGGUAGAAUUCCAGGUGUAGCGGUGAAAUGCGUAGAGAUCUGGAGGAAUACCGAUGGCGAAGGCAGCCUUCUGGCAUAAUACUGACACUGAGGCUCGAAAGCGUGGGUAGCAAACAGGAUUAGAUACCCUGGUAGUCCACGCCGUAAACGAUGUCUACUAGUCGUUGGGUCCCUUGAGGACUUAGUGACGCAGCUAACGCAAUAAGUAGACCGCCUGGGGAGUACGGCCGCAAGGUUAAAACUCAAAUGAAUUGACGGGGGCCCGCACAAGCGGUGGAGCAUGUGGUUUAAUUCGAUGCAACGCGAAGAACCUUACCUGGUCUUGACAUAUCUAGAAUCCUGCAGAGAUGCGGGAGUGCCUUCGGGAAUUAGAAUACAGGUGCUGCAUGGCUGU
rnacentral:rRNA from 1 species